rnacentral:rRNA from 1 species
ACGGGGGGAGCAAGCGUUGUCCGGAAUCAUUGGGCGUAAAGGGCGUGUAGGCGGUUAGGCAAGUCGAAUGUGAAAUCCCACGGCUCAACCGUGGAACUGCGUUCGAAACUGCCCUACUUGAGUGCGGGAGAGGUGUGCGGAAUUCCUGGUGUAGCGGUGGAAUGCGUAGAUAUCAGGAAGAACACCGGUGGCGAAGGCGGCACACUGGCCCAGCACUGACGCUGAGGCGCGAAAGCGUGGGGAGCGAACGG